AAGCUAGAUGAUGAGAAUGGUUUUUAUAUAUCUCACGAUGGUCAUCUGAGGCACUCUUGGUGUCUAUAUUGAUGCAUAUCCAAUCUCUGAUGGCU